GGAAGGUUCACAGUGCUAUUUUUAAUGUUUGAAUCUACUAAUAGGCUGGAGCAAUAUGUCAUCCAGACCUAUUGCAAAUGAGGAGGAAGACAAAAAUAGACUGGUCGGAAAGGGAGAGGGAAAUCAUUCAAAACACGUCUAAGAAAGCUGGACAUAAUCAAGGACUGAAGCUUGUACCGAAAGUGGUAUACUACUACUGUGGUGGCUCUCCAGCAAAGCAGCCAUCUGGAUCCUUUGGAUGCCUCUGUCAGUUCCCCCCCACCAAUGUGCAACCUCUGCUCUUUGACUGCUUGGAGUUAUUAGAAGCAGCUGCAGGUUAAAUCAACUUUUGGCUUGCGCUAAGUUGCAUCAAGCACUGUUUUGCUACACAAAUGUGUAUAGGAUAGGAAACUUGGCUGCUGCUUCUGUGGGCAGGGAAAUACCAUACAAACCAGCAGACAAUUCCUGGGAGAAAGCCAGGAGCUGAAAUGCACAGGCUGCGUGUGAGGUGUCUGCUGCCUGUUCAUGCGGUUUUCUGCAGAUUGCAGUGUUCCUUUUCUAGCUUCCUAAACUCUGACAUCUCCUUAUUUCCCCCUCACCAGAGAGAAUAACCUGAUCCAAAGCACUUUCUAAUGAAUGUCAUUAGGAAGGAGUCAUUUAGCAGAGUUUGUUUAACUGCAAUAAGACCCGAACCAUCAUCACUUUAUAAUUUAUGUUCUUGCAUUUUACUUUUCAUCAGUUCUGCAGCUUGUGAACAGGCCAAUGAACAGUUGCUCUUCCAAAAUCCGAACUAACUUUGUCUCUGACAUGGUAUAACGUGUGUUUUCACAGUGCUUCAGUAACAACAUCUUGAUGGGAAAUGAAGAGCCGCUUUUCUUCCAGACAGAGCAGUUCGUUUAUCAGAUUUACAUACUUUUAUUUUUCCUGUGUGAAAAGCCUGAGUCAAAGAAGUCAGAGAGUUACUCAAACAGAUAAUUGUGCCAGCUUUCCUGGUCAGGCAAGUUUGAGCUCUCUUGCUGCUGAAUGAAGCAGAACAUACUUUUUGACAUUGCACCACAUUCGAACUCGGCUUAUUUUGGUUCUUUCUGCGAGGGAACAUUUCUUUUAUAACUCUCCUGAUGCCCUCCGAAAGGAAACUGUCAGCUGGAGCUGGAAGUACUUUAGUUGUCCAAGUGCCAAACCCUGAUUAGGGUAAAGAGAAAUGGGAUGAAAGCAGGUGAACCACACAGCAUUAACGUUUUAACGACUAUCUUGGUAGCUGGAAGUGCUGGCAUCGGGAGCGUCCGAGCUUUGGGGCUUUUCAGUGCCCUCUCCUUACUGACCAGCCCCACAGGGAGGGAGCACUGUCGUCCUGGUUUGCAGAUCAAAGACUGAAUCUGGGAAAUUAGACCCUACAAGGGCAUUCCUUUGGCAGUUCCUAACUCUUGGCUAGCUUGCUUCCAUGGGAAAAUUGAGGAGAGGAUGGAAAUGGGAGCUGGGUACCCAACAUCAGGCAUCUCACCGAGCUGUGUGGCUUCGGCAGCGGUGGGAGAGGGUGCUCCUUCCUCUCUCAUGCUCUCCCUUCAUAUGGCACUUUACAACCUAUUUUUUCCUAUUAAAAAAGGAAGAAAGGGGCUCUCCACACAUUCUGAAGAGCACUAAAUCCAAGAGCAGUAAAAAUUGUCUUAUUUUAUAAUUGCCUGUCAGAACCACGUUCCUACCCCUCUCUCAUACAAAGUGGGAACUUCCCAGAGACCAAGCCAGCCUCAGCGGUGGCAGCUAGCCAAUGUGCCAUGCCACACACCUGUUAAGAACACAAACUAGACUAACUGGCAACUCAAAUUGUUUUCCUUAAAAUAAAGAAUGAAUCAGCUACCUCGGAGUGAAAGAA
ensembl:lncRNA